CCCUCCUCCCGUCGCGCCGCGCCGCACGCCGCCUCCUGCUCCUCCCACGCCGCGCCGCGCCGCGCCGCACGCCGCCUCCUGCUCCUCCCGCGCCGCUGCCCCGCCGGCGCCCAGUCCUCCCGCAGCCCGGGUCGCUCUUAUCCCUCAAGCAGCGCCGACGGCGCGGGACCCAGUGGGCUGGGCCUGCGUCGGCAGUGCCGGUGUCCAUCUCCUCCGUCGAGCGGCGGCGGCGCAGCGGGACGCAGUGGGCCUGACUUGCAUCGGCAGCAAAGGGGUCUCUCCUCCGUCAAGCAGCGGCGGCAGCGCGGGACCCAGCGGGCUCGGCCUGCGUUGGCGGCGGCGGGGUCCAUCUCCACCGUCGAGCAGCGGCGGCAAGGUCCAUCUCCUCCCUCAAGCUGCGGCGGGCUUGAGACACAGCGGGCUCGGCCACGAAGAUGGAUUUCUCCGACGGGGCAUUCGAUUCCUGGCCUCUGUUCCUCGACCUCGCGUCAGGCACAUAUGCCCCAGCGGUCGUUCCUCCUCGUGGUCAGUGACGCAGAUGCCGCCGCUGUCAUUCCUUGCACAACCAAGGAUGCGGAACUCCUCUACGGUGAGAUGCAUUGUGUAGCCUCUGCCCUCCAGCACCAUGGCAGCAUGCCGAUGCCCACCAAAUGUUCGAUGAGUUCCCCUAAUUGACCUCUCUAUAUAGCUAGCCCUCUCUAUUUCAGUCUCUCACAGCUCUCCGUGUCAUCCAUAUAUGAUCUUAUUUUGUUUCAGUUUUUUGCUAGAUUUAACACUGACAUUUGUUUAAAUCCUAUCCAUGUUGAAUAUUUGAAAGGGAGCACACAAAGCUGCAGAGGCAACAACUCCAAAGGAAUCAGCACGGUGAUGCGUUUCUAUAUGUUCAGUGUGACUAGAAACCAACAUGCUGACUACUAAACCAUAUGCACAGGAUCGUAGAAAAUUAUUAUUCUAUAUGCACAUGAUCGUAGAACAUUAUUAUUAAUGUCUACAUUGGAAAGGAUCCAAACUCUAAACAAGUGAUUCGUGAACAAUUUUUUAUCUAGGUUCAGAAGUUGAUAAUCCAUUACAGUUCUUUCAUUGUGCAAGCAACCUCAGGUACGACGAAACGGCUUUGAUUUGCUUCUGUCGUCACAUUGCUGAAUACGACUUUGAAUCUCAACUGCACUUGACUGCACCUUCUAUCUUGAUCUGCUUGACAACUUAUAAUUUGCACAAACAUUCCCCUACAUAGUUUGUCCUUGGUCUGAAAGAACAAUUCCUGAUGAUAUAUUCCAAAUCAGGUUGUUGCCUGGAUCCUAUGAACAACAUGUACAGUCAUGCUGUCGUUAUCCGUUUACCAUCAAUUGACGAUUUCAAAUUAUUCAAGAAUGCACGACGCACAAGGCUGUAAGGUUUCCGCACUUGCAUCCGUAGAAAUCUGGGUGUUGGUAAAUUCUGUUUUGGAUGGAUUUUGAAGGGAACUUUGUUUUUAUCGAGGAUCAGACAAUACUAAGAGACUAACAAGAAUACAGUAAAUUACUGGAUCAUUCAUAGUUCCCUGGCGUAGAAUAGAACCCAUUGUGGUAACUAUCUUGGGGCUCUAGAAAUAAUUCCUCUGAAACUGAAUCAUUCAGUCAUACCUUCACUUUAGUAAAUAAUGGCUCUGGAUACUGGGAUCUCUCAUCUUGGUUAUUUUUUAUAUACUGCAUUGCAAAACCAGAAGCUCAAGCUAGGUUAGGCUAAGGCUAGGCUCACAAAAUAAUGAUGAUGAUUACUUAGCUAAAAUUGUUCUGGAACUUUAUCCGUGAUCUAACAUUUUUUUCCCGAGGCUGAAUUAAUGGGUAUGGAAUUCUAUUUGGUCGAGUUGCUUAUCUGAAUGCAACCUUUGAAUAGUUAAUGAAAUUGCUGGGAUUUGGUGUUGCCCGAUUGUUCAUGUGAACGUGGCAGAAGCCUUCAUUUGUGGCCUAACAUUUUUUUACCAGUUAUUAUCUUCUUAUGUAACAGUUGUAAAUUUGCAGUCUAGAUUAGCACAUAUAGUGACCACUCAUGCUUGUCAUCACUGUACCUAAAUGAUGUCUUCCUUGCGUACUUGUCAUCACUACACCUUCAAUCGACACUGUUAUUUAUGCUGAAUGUCAAGACCUUCAGUAUUGUACACCAUUUUUACGAAUGCUUAGCCUAAACGUCAUGGUUGUUUAUGUCAUCUUGCUUUAUAAGUCAGAAUGAUGGGCCAAGAGCUUCCGUUUCUUUUGGGUUGGGUUUUAUUUACUACGAAUAUAUCUAGCGAUAGAAAGAGCACAUGAGUUAUUCCUACAAUAUUUUUAGUGUUCAGAUAGAGUUAAGAAAAUUAUGAUGUUACCAAAUCUAUUUAGUUCAUGAUUUUUGGUAAUUAAUAUUCUAGCCUGGUGAUGGAUUAGGUUGAUGGGUCAACAUCUUCUGUCAUCUUCAGUUUGCAAGUUGAACUAUUAAUGCUUAGUUUUGUUGUAGAGGGGCUUACUUCAGUUUGCAGAACUACCAUGAUAAACAGACAAACUGUUUAUUGAUAGAGGGGAUUUGUUUUUAUGCAUUCAUAGUUAUUCCUGUUAUAGGCUGGUCCUCUUUUGAGGCUACUGAUUGCAUUAGGAAGAGGAUGUUUUCUUUCGAAAAGGUUAGAAAGAGGAUGUUGAACUAAACUUCCCUUAGUUCAUUUCUUAUAUUUUUCUCAUGUUUCCUCGCAAUGGAAGGAGCACGAUAGCUUGCAGAUGGUGCUAUGGUGCAAACAUGUAGUGGACUUGGAGGCCAGGAUUUUAGCUACAGGAAAAGAAUGAGGCUACAACUGGUGGACAAGUGACAUGACCACGAUAAGAAAAAUGCUACAGGUGCACAUGAGCAGUCUUGGUGAGAUUAGUGGCUGAAGCUGGCUGGCAAAUAUCUGAAGGAAUCCAAUAGACUUUUUUUUGCGGGAAGGAAUCCAAUAUACUUCCUGUGUAGUGAAAAUGACCAAUAUGGACAUGAAAAAAGAUGGAUCACCCUGAGGUUUGCAAUGUAAAUCUUAUGGAAGGUGACACUAUUUGAUCAAGAGAUGAACACUUGGCAACUUUGGAUUGUUCCCAUUAUUGGAGUUUGAUGUUUGCAUUUUGACACGGAGCUAUGUUGUUUCACCACAUGCAACAAUUUAAAUUUUGGUGUUCAAAAUAGUUUGACUAAAUAUAUAUGGAGUAUUAGUUAGUACGUGCAUUGCACGUGUAAGUUUACUAGUAGUGAAGAAAAUACCAAUGUGACCAUACUAUUCAUUAAACAAUGUUUUUUAAUAUUAGCUUCAAUUUGUUAUUUUUGCCA